GAUGAAGAACGUAGCGAAAUGCGAUAAGUAAUGUGAAUUGCAGAAUUCAGUGAAUCAUCGAAUCUUUGAACGCACAUUGCGCCCCCUGGUAUUCCGGGGGGCAUGCCUGUCCGAGCGUCAUUACAACCCUCAAGCUCAGCUUGGUGUUGGGCCCCGCCGCCCCGGCGGGCCCUAAAGUCAGUGGCGGUGCCGUCCGGCUCCGAGCGUAGUAAUUCUUCUCGCUCUGGAGGUCCGGUCGUGUGCUCGCCAGCAACCCCCAAUUUUUUUCAGGUUGACCUCGGAACAGGUAGGGAUACCCGCUGAACUUAAGCAUAUCAAUAAGCGGAGGA
rnacentral:misc_RNA from 1 species